rnacentral:misc_RNA from 1 species
AGCCGACCAUGCCGCGCGUGAUGGACCUGUUUCAGACCUACAUGCGCGAACUGCGUCCCACCGAUCUCAACGGAUCGAUCGGGCUGUUUCGCCUGAAGGAAGAGCUGACGCGCCGCGUCAACGCGGCGAUCUCGCCCAGUCAGGUGAACGCUGUGCUGUUCAAGGAAAUCGUCGUUCAGUGACGGACGGAAGUUGAAUCAUGUCUCCGGGCGAUAACAAUGAUGUCGAUCAGGAUGCGCUAGCCGCCGAAUGGGAAGGCGCGCUGGAUUCUGAAGACCCGGCCGCGGCUGCGGCUGAGGCGGAAGCCAACACGCUCACCGAGACCAUGGCCGAGCAGUGGGCCGCCAUGGUCGACGACGGCAGCCGCAACCUUGAAAUCGGCAAGGCCGGUGGCGAGCGCGUCCUGUCGCAGGAAGAAAUCGACAACCUGCUCGGUUUCAGCGACGGCGAACUCAAUAUCGACGAGAACUCCGGCAUUCGCGCCAUCAUCGAUUCCGCGAUGGUGUCGUACGAGCGCCUUCCAAUGCUCGAAAUCGUGUUCGACCGCCUGGUGCGGCUGAUGACGACGAGCUUGCGCAAUUUCACCUCCGACAACGUCGAAGUCUCGCUGGACCGCAUCACGUCGGUCCGCUUCGGCGACUAUCUCAAUUCGAUCCCGCUGCCCUGCGUGCNUUGCGUGCUCUCCGUGUUCAAGGCCGAGGAGUGGGAAAACUUCGGUCUGUUCACCGUCGAU